GAAAUGCGAUAAGUAGUGUGAAUUGCAGAAUUCAGUGAAUCAUCGAAUCUUUGAACGCACAUUGCGCCCCUUGGUAUUCCAUGGGGCAUGCCUGUUCGAGCGUCAUUUGUACCCUCAAGCUCUGCUUGGUGUUGGGUGUUUGUCCCGUCUCCGCGCGUGGACUCGCCCCAAAGUGAUUGGCAGCCGGCGUACUGGUCCCGGAGCGCAGCACAUGUCGCGCAAACGAGUGCCUUGGUACGGCGGCGUCCAUAAGCCCCUCUCUCACGCUCUUGACCUCGGAUCAGGUAGGGAUACGCGCUGAACUUAAGC
rnacentral:misc_RNA from 1 species